rnacentral:rRNA from 1 species
CCUACGGGUGGCAGCAGUGGGGAAUAUUGCACAAUGGGCGAAAGCCUGAUGCAGCAACGCCGCGUGAAGGAAGACGGUUUUCGGAUUGUAAACUUCUAUCAAUAGGGAAGAAAGAAAUGACGGUACCUAAAUAAGAAGCCCCGGCUAACUACGUGCCAGCAGCCGCGGUAAUACGUAGGGGGCAAGCGUUAUCCGGAUUUACUGGGUGUAAAGGGAGCGUAGACGGCAGUGCAAGUCUGGAGUGAAAGGCGGGGGCUCAACCCCCGGACUGCUCUGGAAACUGUACGGCUGGAGUGCAGGAGAGGUAAGUGGAAUUCCUAGUGUAGCGGUGAAAUGCGUAGAUAUUAGGAGGAACACCAGUGGCGAAGGCGGCUUACUGGACUGUAACUGACGUUGAGGCUCGAAAGCGUGGGGAGCAAACAGGAUUAGAUACCCCAGUAGUC